rnacentral:rRNA from 1 species
AAGUCGUAACAAGGUCUCCGUUGGUGAACCAGCGGAGGGAUCAUUACCGAGUUUACAACUCCCAAACCCCUGUGAACAUACCUUAUGUUGCCUCGGCGGAUCAGCCCGCGCCCCGUAAAAAGGGACGGCCCGCCGCAGGAACCCUAAACUCUGUUUUUAGUGGAACUUCUGAGUAUAAAAAACAAAUAAAUCAAAACUUUCAACAACGGAUCUCCUGGUUCUGGCAUCGAUGAAGAACGCAGCAAAAUGCGAUAAGUAAUGUGAAUUGCAGAAUUCAGUGAAUCAUCGAAUCUUUGAACGCACAUUGCGCCCGCCAGUAUUCUGGCGGGCAUGCCUGUUCGAGCGUCAUUUCAACCCUCAAGCCCAGCUUGGUGUUGGGAGCUGCAGUCCUGCUGCACUCCCCAAAUACAUUGGCGGUCACGUCGAGCUUCCAUAGCGUAGUAAUUUACACAUCGUUACUGGUAAUCGUCGCGGCCACGCCGUUAAACCCCAACUUCUGAAUGUUGACCUCGGAUCAGGUAGGAAUACCCGCUGAACUUAA